UACGUAGGGAGCAAGCGUUGUCCGGAAUCAUUGGGCGUAAAGAGCGCGUAGGCGGCUCGGUAAGUCCGCUGUGAAAGUCCAGGGCUCAACCCUGGAAUGCCGGUGGAAACUGUCGAGCUAGAGUCCGGAAGAGGCGAGUGGAAUUCCUGGUGUAGCGGUGAAAUGCGCAGAUAUCAGGAGGAACACCAAUGGCGAAGGCAGCUCGCUGGGACGGUACUGACGCUGAGACGCGAAAGCGUGGGGAGCAAACAGG
rnacentral:rRNA from 1 species